UCUCUUCCUCUUCCACCAGUUCGCCGCCUCCUGCAUUCGUGAGACCGCGACAGCGGGAGAUUCGGUUCUCCACCCGCUCGCCCCUCGACGGCGAGACGCCCAAGCGGUGGUGCCUUCUCCGAUCACCAAGCAGAGGCACCCUCCCCGCUGGCCCCCAAGUGGUGGCGCAUAAGGCUAGGGCGGCGACAACACAGUGGAUCUGACCAGCCCCAAGCAGCGGCGCCCUCGGUCCGAGCGGCACGAGCAGCAGCGGCACCCCCACCCCCGAAUCUGACUCCAACGACGGCAGAUCGGGCACCCAUACCUCAUCUCCACAUCGUUUUGGGGCUACAGCAGCGGAUCAGGUGGCUGUGAUGCGAGAUCUUGGCGGAGGCAUCUAGGUGUCGGAGUGGCGUUGCCUGGCCAAGUUUUGACGAUCCCGUAGCUUAGCACGACCAGAGGCAAGUCUAAGAUUUGAAGAACGUGUCUUCAAAAUUUCAAAAGAAAGAAGAAGCUUUGCAAUGAUGUGGAAAAAUGGAUAAGCUUAAUAUAAGCUUAUGUCUCCCAAAAUGUGUAAGUCCAUUGACAGAGAUGGAAAAAGAUUAUUUAUAUUGAAUUGCAGGAAGCCCCUAAUGAAGAUUCUAGUUCUUGAUCCCUCAGAAAAAAACUCUAGUUCUUCAGAGCCUGGAUCAAACAAUACUUUAUAAAGUGAAAAGGAUUGUUCCUUCCUUACUCGUGCUAUUUUUGGGAAACCAUGCCGAGUUGCUAUCCCUGAAGGAAAUGAAAAAACUAAUAAGAUUGCUCAAUGAGAUCCUAUUAUUGAAGAUUAUGACCGCAUAUAUCAACAGGGACAGCCUUCUCCAACACUAGUAUUCACUCUUCUUAUAUCACAAGCUGGGACCAUCAUGCUAGGCACGAGAAUAACACUUAUGCUCUUAUAUCACAAAUUAAAGUAGUUAAUCUAUACACCAUUAAGGAAUUCUCAUUGACAUUACAGUAAUAUUCACAAGUCAAGGCUUUAAAAUAUACAUCUAAAUCAUGUUGUAUUCAAAGGCUUCGGGGUCAUAUAUACAGUAAUUUGUUUGCAUAUUUGAUCACGAUCUUGUAUAGUUCACAGCCUAUUGCUACAGUUUAUCACUACUUGAUGAAGUAAAUGAAGUUUAGGAUAUAACUAUAACAUAAAAAAAAUAUAUAAUAGUUAUACAAAGUAAAAAAGCCACAAGGCUACUAUACCUUGAAGUGUAGAAGCUCAUGUAAGGUAAAAUGGCAUCCAAUCGGUCAGACCUUCUUACACCAACCUUCCUCACUUUCUUUGACACAAGGUCAAGCGUGAAGAUUUAUGUAUAUAUGUUAAUGAAAAUAGUGUUUGUGCCCUUUGCGAAGCCAACUACUUCAUAUGACUCAUAUGGCAUGCAUCUUGGGAACAACGUCCCAAGCCGUAUAACCCUGUGUUCCACCCACCCACCAAUUCCAUCAGCAACAUCUUGUUGUGACCACAAGUAGAAGUGAUUGUUUCUCAGGGUGGCAAAUCCUAGCCCUCUGUCC